rnacentral:misc_RNA from 1 species
AUAAUAAGCAAAAGAAAAUAACAAAAACAAAAACCUAAUAAAUAACCCAAGAGAUAAAAAAAACAACAAGUGCGUGCGUGCAUUUCUUUACAAAACAAAAACAAAAAGAAAAAUAACAAAAACCUCUGAUUUGUUGGCAUUUUGUUAGAAGAUUAACUAAAUAUUUACUGAUAUUUUCAUUAUUAUUGAUUACAAACGAAUACGAAUAAUUUUGUUUACAAUCUCAAGAACUUUUUCCAUGAAAAUAAUUUAACGAAAUCAUAAACCAUGGAACGUAGAGGACGCAUACCAGUGGCAAAAUUUCGUACACAGGAAGGUAAAACCCGCAGUCGCAGUAGAGUACGAGAGCCAGACUACAAUGAACAAGAUCCGGAAACAGAUUUAUUUACUCUACUUGAAGAUAAUAUAGCUUUAAAGGAAGAAAAUAAAGCUUUAAAAUUACAAUUGGAGGAUCAUAAAAAAAUACAAAAUGAGUUACUAGAAGAUAAUACCAAACUUUCCGACGAAUUGGAUUUGCUUAAGAAACAACAUUUAGAAUUGGAUGUGGAAAUCAAAGGCUUGACAGUUAAAUUCAAUAAAGUGCAAAAUGAGCGUAACGCUUUGGAUAAAUUGCAUAAAAUGAAAGUGGAAAAUAUUAAUGGACUACAACAAGAAUUGCAAUUACUACAAGAUCGUCAACAGAAUAUUUCCCACAAUGUCAAAUGUUCACACAGUUUAAAAUCGAAAAUUGUUAAAAUGCUUCCUCUACUUAGUGGCAAUAAUGAUAUGGAAAGCAUUAUAGAUGUGGAUACCACAAUGGCAACUCCACUGACCAGUGAUUUGGUAGAGAAAAUUGUUGAUGAAUUUUUAGUGUUGAAAAAUUCUAUGAAUUCAGUAGAGCUGCAAUUGUAUGAAGCCAAUGAAAAAAUAGCCGAACUAAUUGAAAAUCAACAUCAUUUGGAAGAAGAAAAUGAAACUUUACGUACUGAAAAUACAAAUCUCACUAAAGUAGCUAAACUUUUAACGGAAAACAUGAAAGAAAGUGUAGAGACUAGUAAAAAAAUGGAGUCUGCUUUAAUUAAGUUAAAACAACGUAAUGAUGAACUGACAGCUAAAACACGCGAUCUAACCGAUGGUCCCUCAUCCCGCACAUCAACACCAAUACCAACACCCUCACCCACCACCAUCAAAACAAAUGAAGAAUUUGAACAGAUUAAAGAUGAAGUUGAAACACAAAAUCGUGAUCAUAACGAACGUAUUGUUGAGAUGGGCUUAAAACGUGUAUCGGGUUUCUUUCGAAAUAUAAAUAUAUUUAAAAGUAACCCAACUCCACAAAACGCGCAAGAAGAACAAAUCGCACAACCGCCACCACCUCAACCAUAACCACAACCACCAGUACUAUCAACACAACCUACCAACAACAACCGCAACAACUUUAUUAUAAGAAAAAUCAUUAGAAAAUGCUUCAACUUCUACUACUUCUUCCUCUAUUCCUUCCUUAGUUGGCAACAUAAAGAAAGAAACACUCUUCUUUGCGUAUUUCAUAGAAAUUGUAAAGAAGAAAAACGAAAAAAUAUGAAAUAAUUAUGGUGAAGGUGUUGACGCUUUAGUACGUGAAUUGAAAUCUGGUCGUGUGACGUUAAGACGUAAUCGUCGUAAGACUCAAACCAACGAUGCUUUGCAGGAAAUGUUCCAAGUCUUGGAAAUUAGU